UUCCAGCCCAGCUGAGUGAAAGGUGGAGAGAGGCCCCCCGUGCCUGUGUCUUUCUGAUUCAGUACAAGAUACACCCAAUAACAAAUGGAAUAAGCUCCUAAAAAUAGCAGGUAGCCCAAAAGGCAUCACAAGUACAACCGAGCAGGAGAGAUGGCAUUUCCAUGGAACUCUUCUCUGGAGGAAUUUCAGAGGGAUUUUUUCAAUCCUGCUUUGCAGUGAGGUGGUGAAAGUGAUACUCACCCUUUAUUUUACUGCCAGCACCAAAAAGCAGCUCAGGAGUGUCCAAGCCUGGCUGAUUCCUACCACAGAUCCCACUUGCAAUGGCCGGUCACCCUCUCUCUGUGAUGUUUGUGAACCCACCAGCCAUGGGCCAGGCAGGGUCAGUCCUUGAAGCACAGACCCAGCAGGUCCAGUCUCACAUCACAUUCUCCCUUUGAGCACCUGAAAUCCCUGAAUGUUGGAUUAUACCUUUUUCUGGCCCAGAGAUGGGGCAACUGAGAGGCACUUUAAAAACUUUUAUUCCAUUUUUAGUGUCAUGUCAAGAGUGAGACGAUACAGAUGUUAUAAUUCAUGCUAUCACAAUCAGAAGCCAAACUAUUUCCUUAUUACAAAACAUUAUAAGUGUUUCUUGACCUAUCAGCUUUUGGCACACAAUGCUGCUUUAAAGCAAAUCACCUAAAAUUACCCCCGUGGGUCCUACUACAAUGCAUCUUUCAUAGUUCUAUUUUUCUAAAAUAUCUAGUCUUAUUUGCAAGGCCAUCCUUUGAAAGUUGUUUCCAGUUCCAUUUCUCCCUCAACAAUAUCCGUCCUAUUCCACAGAAUUUCUAAGUCAUCAUUUUUUUAUCUCAAAAUUUGCAUACAGAUACAAACUAUGUGAGCCUUCUGUCGGGCUUUGAGA